AUGCAGGCAGGGGCCAUAAGGAAGCUCAAUGGGUUCAUAUUGGUGUUUCUAUUACAAAGUCUGUCUCUGUCUUUUUUAAUAGCCAGUCGCAAAGCUCCAUCUGUCUUUCCCCUGGCACCCAAAUGUGGACAGGAAACCUCCUCCAAAAUAGCUCUGGGCUGCCUGGUGUCAGGCUACUUCCCUAAGCCUGUGGAAGUGACAUGGAAUUCAGGAGCCAUCUCCAGUGGAAUCCAGACUUAUCCCUCUGUUCUCCAGUCCUCAGGACUCUACACCUCAAGCAGUCAAUUGACAGUUCCUACAGAUGCUUUGAACAGCCAAUCAUACACCUGCAAUGUGGUCCACCAAGCCACAUCCACCAAGAUUAACAAGAAAGUUGAAAUCAGUGAUUCCUCAAAUUCCUGCAAAUGCCAAGCAUGUGAUGUCAGUGGACCUUCUGUAUUCCUCUUCCCUCCAAACCCUAAGGACACACUCACAACCUCAGGAGUCCCUAAAAUCACCUGUAAGGUGAUUGAUGUGAGUGAUUCGUCAGAGGUUCGUAUUACCUGGUUGAAAGGUGAUAACAUAAUUGACAGUCCUAAACCAAAACGGGACAGGCUAAACAAUGGCACCUUUCAAGUGGUCAGCACUAUCCCUGUAGAACACCGAGAAUGGCUGAAUGGCAUGGCGUACACCUGCAAAGUUGAAAACGACGAAUUACCAUCUCCUGAGAAAAAAACCAUCUCCCACCCUAAGGGUGACAAAAAGAAGCCUGAUGUGUAUGUCUUUGCCCCACAUCCUGAGGAGUUGAAGCAUAAAGACACUGUUAGUAUUACCUGCCUCGUACAAAAUUUCUUCCCUGACGAAGUUGUUGUUGAAUGGCAAUGCAACAACAAUCGGGAAUGUGAAGAGAAUCAUUCCACCACCCAAACCGUGAAGGAAAAUGGCACCUUCUUUCUCUACAGCAAGCUCAAUGUGAAGAAAAGAAAAUGGCAAGAGAAUAACUCCUACACCUGCGUGGUGCUACACGAGGCCCUUCCGAACCACUAUACUGAGAGGACAAUCUCUGCAUCCCCGGAAUUGAUACCAGAUGAGAACUGUGCUGAGACCAGGGAUGGAGAGCUGGAUGGGCUGUGGACCACAAUAUCUAUCUUCAUCACUCUCUUCCUCCUCAGUGUGUGCUACAGUGCCACUGUCACCCUGUUCAAGGUAAAGUGGAUCUUCUCCUCUGUGAUGGAGUUAAAGCAGCCAAUGAUCCCUGACUAUAGAAACAUGAUGGGGCAAGGAGCCUAAGAGAAGGUGCUGUACCCCCAUCUCCCAGAGACAAACCUUAAAUGGAGUGAGAACCUCACCAUGAUUUCCUCAAAACAGCAGAAACAUCUCCACAUCACAAUCAAAUCCAGCUUCUCCCUGAACACAGACAUUCACCAAUGUCCCUUAGCAUGGGACAAAGACUCUUUUGCCUCUUCUGUUGCCCAAGACCAGCUCAGGAAAAUGGAACCUCUGUCUAACAAAGGUCUCAUUCUUCAUGUAUUGCCUUUCUCUCACAGGAUCAGCAGAAUAGGGAUGCAAAGGAAAAGAGAAUAGAAGCUACAUGGCCUAUAGUGAAGGCUGAGGAAAGACCAGCAUCAUCGUUGUGUAAGACAUAAUUGAUAGAUGUACUCAUAUUCAUUCAAAUCAAACAGAAUUUCUCCUUUGGUA